UCAUGCAUGCUUAACUCGUU
rnacentral:misc_RNA from 1 species